AGAGUUUGAUCAUGGCUCAGAUUGAACGCUGGCGGCAUGCUUUACACAUGCAAGUCGAACGGGGCAAGGGGGCAACUCCUUGUUCAGUGGCGAACGGGUGAGUAAUGCAUCGGAACGUGUCCCGCAGUGGGGGAUAACUCGGCGAAAGCCGAGCUAAUACCGCAUACGCUCUGCGGAGGAAAGCGGGGGAUUCGCAAGAACCUCGUGCUAUGGGGGCGGCCGAUGUCCGAUUAGCUAGUUGGUGGGGUAAUGGCCUACCAAGGCGACGAUCGGUAGCUGGUCUGAGAGGAUGAUCAGCCACACUGGGACUGAGACACGGCCCAGACUCCUACGGGAGGCAGCAGUGGGGAAUUUUGGACAAUGGGGGCAACCCUGAUCCAGCCAUGCCGCGUGCGGGAAGAAGGCCUUCGGGUUGUAAACCGCUUUUAGCCGGGACGAAAGGGGCACGGAUAACACCCGUGUCUGUUGACGGUACCGGCGGAAUAAGCACCGGCUAACUACGUGCCAGCAGCCGCGGUAAUUC
rnacentral:rRNA from 1 species